CGGGAGGCAGCAGUGGGGAAUAUUGCACAAUGGGCGCAAGCCUGAUGCAGCCAUGCCGCGUGUGUGAAGAAGGCUUUCGGGUUGUAAAGCACUUUCAGCGAGGAGGAAAGGGUGUACUUUAAUAGAGUGCAUCUGUGGCGUUACUCGCAGAAGAAGCACCGGCUAACUCCGUGCCAGCAGCCGCGGUAAUACGGAGGGUGCGAGCGUUAAUCGGAAUUACUGGGCGUAAAGCGCGCGUAGGCGGUUAAUUAAGUCAGAUGUGAAAUCCCAGGGCUCAACCUUGGAACUGCAUUUGAAACUGGUUAACUAGAGUUUUGUAGAGGGUGGUAGAAUUUCAGGUGUAGCGGUGAAAUGCGUAGAGAUCUGAAGGAAUACCAGUGGCGAAGGCGGCCACCUGGACAAAGACUGACGCUGAGGCGCGAAGGCGUGGGGAGCAAACGGGAUUAGAUACCCCGGUAGUCCACGCAGUAAACGAUGUCUAUUAGAAUUUUGUGGCUAUAUGCUGUGGGAUUCAAAGCUAACGCAUUAAAUAGACCGCCUGGGGAGUACGGCCGCAAGGUUAAAACUCAAAUGAAUUGACGGGGGCCCGCACAAGCGGUGGAGCAUGUGGUUUAAUUCGAUGCAACGCGAAGAACCUUAC
rnacentral:rRNA from 1 species